rnacentral:rRNA from 1 species
AGAGUUUGAUCCUGGCUCAGGACGAACGCUGGCGGCGCGCCUAACACAUGCAAGUCGAACGAGCGAGAGAGAGCUUGCUUUCUCGAGCGAGUGGCGAACGGGUGAGUAACGCGUGAGGAACCUGCCUCAAAGAGGGGGACAACAGUUGGAAACGACUGCUAAUACCGCAUAAGCCCACGGCUCGGCAUCGAGCAGAGGGAAAAGGAGCAAUCCGCUUUGAGAUGGCCUCGCGUCCGAUUAGCUAGUUGGUGAGGUAACGGCCCACCAAGGCGACGAUCGGUAGCCGGACUGAGAGGUUGAACGGCCACAUUGGGACUGAGACACGGCCCAGACUCCUACGGGAGGCAGCAGUGGGGAAUAUUGCACAAUGGGGGAAACCCUGAUGCAGCGACGCCGCGUGGAGGAAGAAGGUCUUCGGAUUGUAAACUCCUGUUGUUGAGGAAGAUAAUGACGGUACUCAACAAGGAAGUGACGGCUAACUACGUGCCAGCAGCCGCGGU